rnacentral:rRNA from 1 species
UACGUAGGGGGCUAGCGUUGUUCGGAUUCAUUGGGCGUAAAGGGUGCGUAGGUGGCGCCAUAAGUCGGGUGUGAAAUUUCGGAGCUUAACUCCGAAACUGCAUUCGAUACUGUGGUGCUUGAGGACUGGAGAGGAGACUGGAAUUUACGGUGUAGCAGUGAAAUGCGUAGAGAUCGUAAGGAAGACCAGUGGCGAAGGCGGAUCUCUGGACAGCUCCUGACGCUGAGGCGCGAAGGCUAGGGGAGCAAACGGG